CGCUUUAAUUGAAUUUCAUUCCAUCGACAUUCUGAGUAAAAAGACGAUAUCAGGAAAGAUUAAAAUGGCUACAGGAAGUGUCAGGACGAGGUCAAGGAGAUCACAGACUGUCAGAAGACAACGCAGAGUACAACGCCAAAGGGAGACUGUUAGGGGUGUGAUAAUCACUAUACAGAGAACUUUACGCAUUGCAGCUAGAGCUCGACGUUCCCGGAGGUCUGUACUUCGCAGAUGAUAAUCCUUCCUAUACAUUUUUGUAUAUCAGCACAAAAAGAUGUCAAAAUUUAAAGUGAAAUAAAGGAAAACUUUUCGCUAAAUGUUA